rnacentral:rRNA from 1 species
GGGUUGUGAGGUUAAGCGACUAAGCGUACACGGUGGAUGCCCUGGCAGUCAGAGGCGAUGAAGGACGUGCUAAUCUGCGAUAAGCGUCGGUAAGGUGAUAUGAACCGUUAUAACCGGCGAUUUCCGAAUGGGGAAACCCAGUGUGAUUCGUCACACUAUCAUUAACUGAAUCCAUAGGUUAAUGAGGCGAACCGGGGGAACUGAAACAUCUAAGUACCCCGAGG